rnacentral:lncRNA from 1 species
UACUGUUAAGUUAUUAUCGAAAACAUCUGAAAUCUUAGCCCACCGACUAUGACUAUGAAGUCUCUACUGAUAAAUUGACGCACUGCUCAGGACAUGUGAUUUCCUGGCCAGUUCUCUAAGUAAACAAAGAAAUAUCUAACUAAAAAUGACUCUAAGGAAUACUCCACGAACAAAAGCGGAGCUCACCAAUAGCACUGGAAGAGAAGGAAGUCCUAACCCGUAGCCUGUUCGCCUGCAAAACCGGUUCCUACGUUGUACCGCAGACCAACGUAGGUUCCCAAAAGAGAACAUCAGUACCAUCCAUUGUACUCAGUGAGUCUCAACGACCGGGAUGAAAAAUUAAUAACAUAUACAUUACGAGCAAAGAUUCUAAAUGCAUGUAAAACAUAAAGCUUAUAAGAACAAUUCUAAAAUAAUUGCAUAAUAGCAGUUUAUGGAUAUUCUAAAAGAAAUUCUUUUCUUUUUCUUUCUUAUAAAUAAAAUACUUCACUUUAUACUUUGGGAGUUCCAACUAUCCUGAUCUGUUUCUGUCUUCAUCAUCGUGUGAUCGGCACGGGUUCGAUCCCAACCUGAUCGAAUAGGUCCAAUCCACGUGGUGCCACUCGCUUCAUGGUUCUAAGCGCUCAUAUAUCAUACCUUAGCAUGACUAAGUAAAUUCUCAGCAACGAGACCCUCGGCUCGUGUGCUCCCUACUUUGGCACAAAUAGUUUUAGGAAGUCAACACCUUGGUCAGGACCAUAGGCCUGGACGAUAACCCCUUUUUAAAAUAAAGGAUACUUCCAAAAAAAACUUUUCUUUCUAAAACUUCACAAGUUUUUGCUCUUAGUCAGCGUAGCUGACAAAGAUACUGCUAAAAAUGCAAGCUAUUUGCCCUCCUUUAAAUAUCACCAAGAAAUACUAGAGCUUAUGUUGAAUAUCCAAGUUAUCUUCAUUUAAGAUUAUCAUUUUUCGUCUCAAAUUAGACAAGAUUCUGACGGAAUGAUAUCCAACUGGUAUAAUAGUCAAAACAACUUCAAAUCAGAACACUUUACACAUCACAAAACACAAGUGAUUAACCAAGAUCACGGGUCUUUGAUAAUCCUUAGCUUAAAAUUCAAUCAAGUGUCGAAAUAUCCAGUAAAGCAUUGCAAUUGCUAGAUAAUUUGUCAGUGCUAUGCAGCUGCUUGCCUAGUACUACUCCAACUUUUACAUGUAAUAACUCUAUAACAGGAAGGCGUUCCAAUCACAUUAAAUGCAAGCACUUUCUCCUCGAUUAGCUACGUGUCACCUCGUCUAGCAUCAAAUACUAUUACAAAACAGUUUAAUUAAGCUCCACAAAAAUUUCACCUUAUGCAUUGUCUAUUCAAGCUACAAUUGUUACUUGGGAGCACCAGUGGAGCUCUUAUACUUUUCAAGUCUAAAUCUUUUAUACAUAUUCAUACUCGUAUCCUAAAAUGUAAGGCAUUACAUAGGAAUGAAAUAAACAUUCCAAAGUAUUUAUAAACAUUCUUGAUCCUUCAUGAAUUCUUAACAUGAAGAUGACAUAUAAGAAUAAUAUAAAAAUCUAAAAUUUAUGCACAUAUAUCAAAAUAAUCAUCUAAACUUUAGCUAGAAAAUAUUUUUAAGCUAAUAGGUACUUACUACUCCAAUUAAGUAUAUAUUAACUCCUUUAUGCAAUUUAACAAAUACCUUGUAUGCAUGUUUCUAUGAGUUAAACCACUUUAGUAAAGGGUUAUAUCAACUCAACCUAAAACUUCUCGAACCAAUAUGUAGGCCCCAUUCCAAUUGACACCAGUCAAACAAUUGAUUCUACAACAACCAGUGCAUUUUAAUUAAUUUUAAAGUUUCGCACCUAAACACGAAACUUUACUGUUGAUAUAGAGAAAGAAGGGAAUUAACUAUUCUAUUCUUACCGAUUACUACUAUAGAGUAAUUGACAAUAAUAAAUUUUAUAUACCUGAGUUCAAGAAUUUGUGGUUUGUAUAGAACCCUAGAAUUUUCUUUUUGCUCUGUGUGCCUUGCGAUUGCUUCGUUAAAAGAACAACC